GUUUGUUUGCUUACGCUGCGUAAUUAGCAAUGAGUCGUAGUUGCGCUUUGGUUUUAAGGUGACAUUGUGAUCGAUUGCUUCGUUAAGGGCUGUGCCAACGCAUAGUUGCACUUUUCGCUGCUGAAAGAGAAUUUAGUUUUCCAGGACACUGUGCACUCAAGUGUGUGUCGGGGUCGUAGAGUGAACAUAUGGCGGAAUAUGAAGCGAUCAGCGUGAUCAAUGUCUGAAACUUCAUCAGCGUGCUAAACUUGGGAGCCGCAAAACAAGUGCUACAAGAACUCGUAGACUGUUUCCCGACCGCAUUUGUGAUAUAGCAAGGAAACCAGUCUGAAACGCAAAGAACAGUGCAACACAAGGACAACGCAUGUGCCUAUUACAGCCACACUGUUGCCGUGAAGGAACUGCUGCUGUUUGAGCC